AACCUAGCACACCUGCGGUGUGUACCUGCGGAAGGAUCAUUAUCAAGUUACAGCGGAGGCGCCCUCGGGUGUCCUCCUGUCUGCAACCCUUGUCUUUUGCGUACUGUAUGUUUCCUCGGCGGGUUCGCCCGCCGAUAGGACAUUCAUAAACCCUUCGUAGUUGCAAUCAGCGUCAGAAAAAACUAUAAUAGUUACAACUUUUAGCAAUGGAUCU
rnacentral:misc_RNA from 1 species